rnacentral:lncRNA from 1 species
CUAUUAGUCAGUUAACCUUAAAUUAACCAUUUUGAAAUGCUUGGCAUGUCCAAAAAAAAAAAAAAAAAAAAAAAAAAAAAGAGAGAGAGAGAGAGAAAUAUUUUAUUUUUCACUAUUUCAAAGCACAAUAAGUGGCACAACCAAGCACAGUUGCAAGCAGGAAGUUUCUGCUUUAUUUUUCCAGGGAGGACUCUUUCAGCAAAUCAAUCAGCAYAUUUCAGUUAUCAGAGAAGGAGGUCAGGAUUCAACACACAAAACUGCUGACCUCUGGUGACAUUUGUCCUAGGCAACCUGGCAAGAAGGAAAUCACUGUCUUGGCAAAUCUAAAACUGUAAGAGAUGACUUGGGUUAACAAAGAUAACGAAGGAUAACAAGGUACCCAAAGGGCUCU